rnacentral:rRNA from 1 species
UACGUAGGGCGCAAGCGUUAUCCGGAAUUAUUGGGCGUAAAGAGCUCGUAGGCGGUUUGUCGCGUCUGCCGUGAAAGUCCGGGGCUCAACUCCGGAUCUGCGGUGGGUACGGGCAGACUAGAGUGAUGUAGGGGAGACUGGGAUUCCUGGUGUAGCGGUGAAAUGCGCAGAUAUCAGGAGGAACACCGAUGGCGAAGGCAGGUCUCUGGGCAUUAACUGACGCUGAGGAGCGAAAGCAUGGGGAGCGAACAGG